CAGUCGCCGCGGGAAUACGAAGGGGGCUAGCGUUGUUCGGAAUUACUGGGCGUAAAGCGCACGUAGGCGGAUAUUUAAGUCAGGGGUGAAAUCCCAGAGCUCAACUCUGGAACUGCCUUUGAUACUGGGUAUCUUGAGUAUGGAAGAGGUAAGUGGAAUUCCGAGUGUAGAGGUGAAAUUCGUAGAUAUUCGGAGGAACACCAGUGGCGAAGGCGGCUUACUGGUCCAUUACUGACGCUGAGGUGCGAAAGCGUGGGGAGCAAACAGGAUUAGAUACCCCGGUAGUCCCUGUCUCUUAUAC
rnacentral:rRNA from 1 species